rnacentral:rRNA from 1 species
GACGAACGCUGGCGGCGUGCCUAAUACAUGCAAGUCGAGCGAACCGAUAGAAAGCUUGCUUUCUUGAGGUUAGCGGCGGACGGGUGAGUAACACGUGGGCAACCUGCCCUAUAGACUGGGAUAACUCGCGGAAACGCGUGCUAAUACCGGAUAACACAUCGAAGUGCAUGCUUCGGUGUUGAAAGAUGGUUCUGCUAUCACUAUAGGAUGGGCCCCCGCGGCGCAUUAGCUAAGUUGGGUAAGGGGUAACGGCCUACCAAGGCGACGAUGCGUAGCCCGACCUUGAGAGGGUUGAUCGGCCCACACUGGGACUGAGACACGGCCCAGACUCCCUACCGGGAGGCCAGCCAGUAGGGAAUCUUUCCACAAUUGGGCGAAAGCCUUUGAUUGGAGCAAACGCCGCGU